rnacentral:lncRNA from 1 species
CUGACCAAGUGGUUGAAACACACAUGCUUGAUUAUGAAAAAGGAGGGUGUUUUAAAAGUUGAAGACUUUGAAGGAAAAGCCAGGGAAGUGUGUGAUAACUUGGAGAACUUCACCUCAGGAAGUCCUUUCCUAUGCAUGGAGCUCAUACAUCACUGUCCUGCUAAAAGAAGGCUUUGGCUUUGCAGAUAGCACCCUCUUACAGCUCACCAAGAAAGUGAGCAACAUGGAGACAGACUGGGCCUAGGGGGCCACCUUUCCCCUGUUGCAGUCUGUGGGCAUCUCCCACUGAGGCCAAGCACUUCCUCUGAG